rnacentral:lncRNA from 1 species
CAAAAGACUACAAGAUAUUCACCAAAGUAAGCCCAUUUUGGACAUUUUGUCAAAAUAUGAUGAUUUGGUGCAUUUUUCAGACCUAAAAGAUUUUGAAACAACUUGGCCGCCACCUACGAUCCAGAAUGUGUUGUAACCAAAAGAUUUCAAUUUUGAUAUAUAUUUCAUCAAUAUAAAAACUUUUUGGAUCGUAGAUGGAGGCCAAGGUUAUUUAUGCCAAAAACAAUUAAAAUUAUGGACAAAAAGUACCAAAAUUGACCUUUUAAUACAAAUUAUACUAAUUUAAGGGGUCAUUGCUCCAUAAAUAGUAAAGGAAAGUGCCAGAAAAAAUGUUAUUGUCUUAGUAGUAUUAUCACAGGUAUUUCUAUGUGACAUUUGUAAUUUUUUGGCCCAAUUCAAAAAACAUAAAAAAAUCAGGGCCAAUUUUAACCCUUCGUGAACCUUCUCCUUUG